rnacentral:piRNA from 1 species
UGGGAACGAGAAAACACUCGUGGAGGCGUC